rnacentral:tRNA from 1 species
AAAAUUAGUUAAAUUUUAUAACAUAAAUAUGUCAUAUUUAAAUUAUUUUUAUAAAAAUAUUUUU